CCUACGGGAGGCUGCAGUGAGGAAUAUUGGUCAAUGGACGAGAGUCUGAACCAGCCACGUAGCGUGAAGGAUGACUGCCCUAUGGGUUGUAAACUUCUUUUAUAUGGGAAUAAAACGUUCCACGUGUGGGAUUUUGUAUGUACCAUAUGAAUAAGGAUCGGCUAACUCCGUGCCAGCAGCCGCGGUAAUACGGAGGGUCCGAGCGUUAUCCGGAUUUAUUGGGUUUAAAGGGAGCGUAGGUGGAUUGUUAAGUCAGUUGUGAAAGUUUGCGGCUCAACCGUAAAAUUGCAGUUGAAACUGGCAGUCUUGAGUACAGUAGAGGUGGGCGGAAUUCGUGGUGUAGCGGUGAAAUGCUUAGAUAUCACGAAGAACUCCGAUUGCGAAGGCAGUUCACUGGACUGCAACUGACACUGAGGCUCGAAAGUGUGGGUAUCAAACAGGAUUAGAUACCCCAGUAGUC
rnacentral:rRNA from 1 species